CAGUCGCCGCGGUAAAACGGAGGGUGCAAGCGUUAAUCGGAAUUACUGGGCGUAAAGCGUGCGUAGGCGGUUUGUUAAGUCUGUUGUGAAAUCCCCGGGCUCAACCUGGGAAUGGCAAUGGAUACUGGCAAGCUAGAGUGUGUCAGAGGAUGGUGGAAUUCCCGGUGUAGCGGUGAAAUGCGUAGAGAUCGGGAGGAACAUCAGUGGCGAAGGCGGCCAUCUGGGACAACACUGACGCUGAGGCACGAAAGCGUGGGGAGCAAACAGGAUUAGAUACCCCGGUAGUCCCUGUCUCUUAUAC
rnacentral:rRNA from 1 species